GAUGAACGCUGGCGGCGUGCCUAAUACAUGCAAGUCGAGCGAACGGACGAGAAGCUUGCUUCUCUGAUGUUAGCGGCGGACGGGUGAGUAACACGUGGAUAACCUACCUAUAAGACUGGGAUAACUUCGGGAAACCGGAGCUAAUACCGGAUAAUAUUUUGAACCGCAUGGUUCAAAAGUGAAAGACGGUCUUGCUGUCACUUAUAGAUGGAUCCGCGCUGCAUUAGCUAGUUGGUAAGGUAACGGCUUACCAAGGCAACGAUGCAUAGCCGACCUGAGAGGGUGAUCGGCCACACUGGAACUGAGACACGGUCCAGACUCCUACGGGAGGCAGCAGUAGGGAAUCUUCCGCAAUGGGCGAAGGCCUGACGGAGCAACGCCGCGUGAGUGAUGAAGGUCUUCGAAUCGUAAAACUCUGUUAUUAGGGAAGAACAUAUGUGUAAGUAACUGUGCACAUCUUGACGGUACCUAAUCAGAAAGCCACGGCUAACUACGUGCCAGCAGCCGCGGUAAUACGUAGGUGGCAAGCGUUAUCCGGAAUUAUUGGGCGUAAAGCGCGCGUAGGCGGUUUUUUAGUCUGAUGUGAAAGCCCACGGCUCAACCGUGGAGGGUCAUUGGAAACUGGAAAACUUGAGUGCAGAAGAGGAAAGUGGAAUUCCAUGUGUAGCGGUGAAAUGCGCAGAGAUAUGGAGGAACACCAGUGGCGAAGGCGACUUUCUGGUCUGUAACUGACGCUGAUGUGCGAAAGCGUGGGGAUCAAACAGGAUUAGAUACCCUGGUAGUCCACGCCGUAAACGAUGAGUGCUAAGUGUUAGGGGGUUUCCGCCCCUUAGUGCUGCAGCUAACGCAUUAAGCACUCCGCCUGGGGAGUACGACCGCAAGGUUGAAACUCAAAGGAAUUGACGGGGACCCGCACAAGCGGUGGAGCAUGUGGUUUAAUUCGAAGCAACGCGAAGAACCUUACCAAAUCUUGACAUCCUUUGACAACUCUAGAGAUAGAGCCUUCCCCUUCGGGGGACAAAGUGACAGGUGGUGCAUGGUUGUCGUCAGCUCGUGUCGUGAGAUGUUGGGUUAAGUCCCGCAACGAGCGCAACCCUUAAGCUUAGUUGCCAUCAUUAAGUUGGGCACUCUAAGUUGACUGCCGGUGACAAACCGGAGGAAGGUGGGGAUGACGUCAAAUCAUCAUGCCCCUUAUGAUUUGGGCUACACACGUGCUACAAUGGACAAUACAAAGGGCAGCGAAACCGCGAGGUCAAGCAAAUCCCAUAAAGUUGUUCUCAGUUCGGAUUGUAGUCUGCAACUCGACUACAUGAAGCUGGAAUCGCUAGUAAUCGUAGAUCAGCAUGCUACGGUGAAUACGUUCCCGGGUCU
rnacentral:rRNA from 1 species